rnacentral:rRNA from 1 species
AUUGAACGCUGGCGGCAGGCUUAACACAUGCCAGUCGAGCGAGCGGCGGACGGGUGAGUAAUGUCUGGGAAACUGCCUGAUGGCGGGGGAUACCUACUGGAAACGGUAGCUAAUACCGCAUACCAUCAGAUGUGCCCAGAUGGGAUUAGCUAGUAGGUGGGGUAAUGGCUCACCUAGGCGACGAUCCCUAGCUGGUCUGCGCGGAUGACCAGCCACACUGGAACUGAGACACGGUCCAGACUCCUACGGUAGGCAGCAGUGGGGAAUAUUGCACAAGGGGCGAAAGCCUGAUGCAGCCAUGCCGCGUGUGGGAAGAAGGCCUUCGGGUUGUAAAGUACUUUCAGCGGGGAGGCGUUACCCGCAGAAGAAGCACCGGCUAACUCCGUGCCAGCAGCCGCGGUAAUUC